AGUGAACGCUGGCGGUAGGCCUAACACAUGCAAGUCGAACGGCAGCACAGUAAGAGCUUGCUCUUACGGGUGGCGAGUGGCGGACGGGUGAGGAAUACAUCGGAAUCUACUUUUUCGUGGGGGAUAACGUAGGGAAACUUACGCUAAUACCGCAUACGACCUACGGGUGAAAGCAGGGGAUCUUCGGACCUUGCGCGAUUGAAUGAGCCGAUGUCGGAUUAGCUAGUUGGCGGGGUAAAGGCCCACCAAGGCGACGAUCCGUAGCUGGUCUGAGAGGAGGAUCAGCAACACUGGAACUGAGACACGGUCCAGACUCCUACGGGAGGCAGCAGUGGGGAAUAGUGGACAAUGGGCGCAAGCCUGAUCCAGCCAUACCGCGUGGGUGAAGAAGGCCUUCGGGUUGUAAAGCCCUUUUGUUGGGAAAGAAAAGCAGCAGGUUAAUACCCCGCUGUUCUGACGGUACCCAAAGAAUAAGCACCGGCUAACUUCGUG
rnacentral:rRNA from 1 species